UACGAAGGGGGCUAGCGUUGUUCGGAAUCACUGGGCGUAAAGGGUGUGUAGGCGGUUGUUUAAGUUUGGUGUGAAAUCUCCCGGCUCAACUGGGAGGGUGCGCCGAAUACUGAAUGACUUGGAGUGCGGGAGAGGAAAGUGGAAUUCCUGGUGUAGCGGUGAAAUGCGUAGAUAUCAGGAGGAACACCGGUGGUGUAGACGGCUUUCUGGACCGUAACUGACGCUGAGACACGAAAGCGUGGGUAGCAAACAGG
rnacentral:rRNA from 1 species